CGUAGGUGAACCUGCGGAGGGAUCAUUUGGCCCGCUACCCGGGUCUACACCGGGAUGUUCAUAACCCUUUGUUGUCCGACUCUGUUGCCUCCGGGGCGACCCUGCCUUCGGGCGGGGGCUCCGGGUGGACACUUCAAACUCUUGCGUAACUUUGCAGUCUGAGUAAACUUAAUUAAUAAAUUAAAACUUUUAACAACGGAUCUCUUGGUUCUGGCAUCGAUGAAGAACGCAGCGAAAUGCGAUAAGUAAUGUGAAUUGCAGAAUUCAGUGAAUCAUCGAAUCUUUGAACGCACAUUGCGCCCCCUGGUAUUCCGGGGGGCAUGCCUGUUCGAGCGUCAUUUCACCACUCAAGCCUCGCUUGGUAUUGGGCAACGCGGUCCGCCGCGUGCCUCAAAUCGACCGGCUGGGUCUUCUGUCCCCUAAGCGUUGUGGAAACUAUUCGCUAAAGGGUGCUCGGGAGGCUACGCCGUAAAACAAACCCAUUUCUAAGGUUGACCUCGGAUCAGGUAGGGAUACCCGCUGAACUUAAGCAUAUCAAUAAGCGGAGAGAA
rnacentral:rRNA from 1 species